rnacentral:rRNA from 1 species
AGUGAACGCUGGCGGUAGGCCUAACACAUGCAAGUCGAACGGCAGCGCAGGAGAGCUUGCUCUCUGGGUGGCGAGUGGCGGACGGGUGAGGAAUACAUCGGAAUCUACUCUGUCGUGGGGGAUAACGUAGGGAAACUUACGCUAAUACCGCAUACGACCUACGGGUGAAAGCAGGGGACCUUCGGGCCUUGCGCGAUUGAAUGAGCCGAUGUCGGAUUAGCUAGUUGGCGGGGUAAAGGCCCAUCAAGGCGACGAUCCGUAGCUGGUCUGAGAGGAUGAUCAGCCACACUGGAACUGAGACACGGUCCAGACUCCUACGGGAGGCAGCAGUGGGGAAUAUUGGACAAUGGGCGCAAGCCUGAUCCAGCCAUACCGCGUGGGUGAAGAAGGCCUUCGGGUUGUAAAGCCCUUUUGUUGGGAAAGAAAUCCAGCUGGCUAAUACCCGGUUGGGAUGACGGUACCCAAAGAAUAAGCACCGGCUAACUUCGUGCCAGCAGCCGCCGUAA